rnacentral:rRNA from 1 species
AAUAAAAGAUAAAAAAAAAAAAACGCCUGAUCUCGCAAGCUAAGCAGGGUCGGGCCUGGUUAGUACUUGGAUGGGAGACCGCAUGGGAAUACCAGGUGCUGUAAGCC